rnacentral:rRNA from 1 species
GACGAACGCUGGCGGCGUGCUCACACAUGCAAGUCGAGCGGAGAAAGUCUCCGGAACUUUCUCAGCGGCGGACGGGUGAGUAACACGUGGGUAACCUGCCUUAUAGAGGGGGAUAGCCUUCCGAAAGGAAGAUUAAUACCGCAUAACAUUUUCGUUUCGCAUGAAAUGAAAAUCAAAGGAGCAAUCCGCUAUAAGAUGGACCCGCAGGCGCAUUAGCUAGUUGGUGAGGUAAUGGCUCACCAAGGCGACGAUGCGUAGCCGACCUGAGAGGGUGAUCGGCACACAUUGGAACUGAGAUACAGGUCCAGACUCCUACGGGAGGCAGCAGUGGGGAAUAUUGCACAAUGGGGGAAACCCUGAUGCAUGCAACGCCGCAGUGAGUGAUAGAAGGCCUUCGGGUUGUAAAGCUCUGUCUUUGGGUGACGAUAAUGACGGUACCCAAGGAGGAAAACGGCUAACUACGUGCCAGCAGCCGCGGUAAUACGUAGGUGGCAAGCGUUGUCCGGAUUUACUGGGCGUAAAGGGAGCGUAGGUGGAUGUUUAAGUGGGAUGUGAAAUACCUGGGCUUAACUUGGGUGCUGCAUUCCAAACUGGAUAUCG